ACAUACUUAGUAAUCCUCUUGGGCCGCAAGGCCCAACACACAUAGUUAAGUUUUCAAGUGGACGUAGUUUCCAGCCUUAGUGGACGUAGUUUCCCGCUAAGGUGGGAAAUGAACCACUAUACUUCUAGUGUCUCUCUCUCUCUCUCUCUUUUACGUUAAUUAGAUCCCCCUUCGUUUUCUAACAUUAACAUCGGCUCCGUCUGUGGGAAGCCAACACAAAGGCUUCGUCACAUACCAUGAACUUCGGUAAACAUCAAAUUAGGAGUGGUCAACGGCCAUCAGGGCCAAUCAUCGCUUGGUCAACGCCCCGCAACGCAGGUCAACGCCCAUAGGGUCAAUCAAGGUUGGUCAACGCUGGUUACAGCCGGUCAACGCUCCACACACAAAAAAAAAUUCAGUGGCGAUUCUCUCUAG
rnacentral:lncRNA from 1 species